CACUAAGAAGCUAAACAGCAUUAGCCUUUUAAGCUAAAGAGGGGAUUACCCAGUCUCCUUAGUGAU
rnacentral:tRNA from 1 species